GGGACUGAGGGACUUCAGAAGGCAGAGGCGCCGGAGGAGGGUCCAGAAACCAGAAAUGUAAAGGAGGUGGCAGAGAGGCUUAGAGGAAGGGACCGGGGCAAGGGACAGGGAACACUGAGGCACAAAGGGACAAGGACUGACAGAGAAGGAAAGAAACAGGAGAGGGACAGACACUGGAGAAGACGGAAACAAAAGACAGAAACACACGCACACGGGGAACUGGGAGUUGACUGGCAGAUCCCAGCUGCCCUGAGGAUGGUGGCCAGCGGUGGACGUCCUGAUGGUCCCCCUUCUAUCACCCCCGAGAGCCCUCUCAUUGUAGGUGGCAGAGAGUGGCAGGGUAUGGCAGGUUCUUGCUGGAACAUCACCUACGUUCAAGACUCGAGACGGCACCAUGGCUCGUUUGUGCCGACCUCUCGGGCACGAGAGGAUGAAGUUUACCACCUGAUUCUGCUGGCCCUCAUGACAGGCAUCAUGGCCGUAUGCUCCCUGCCUCUCACGAUCAGAGGAUUCACGCAGGCCAUCGCCCCAGACAGCAGAGAGAUGGGGGACCUCCACGCCUUCCGUUUUAAUGCCUUCAACCCCAUCCUGGA
rnacentral:lncRNA from 1 species